CGGCGGACGGGUGAGUAAUGCAUAGGAAUCUGCCCGAUAGUGGGGGAUAACCUGGGGAAACCCAGGCUAAUACCGCAUACGUCCUACGGGAGAAAGGGGGCUCCGGCUCCCGCUAUGGGAUGAGCCUAUGUCGGAUUAGCUAGUUGGUGAGGUAACGGCUCACCAAGGCCACGAUCCGUAGCUGGUCUGAGAGGAUGAUCAGCCACAUCGGGACUGAGACACGGCCCGAACUCCUACGGGAGGCAGCAGUGGGGAAUAUUGGACAAUGGGGGAAACCCUGAUCCAGCCAUGCCGCGUGUGUGAAGAAGGCCCUCGGGUUGUAAAGCACUUUCAGCGAGGAAGAACGCCUAGCGGUUAAUACCCGCUAGGAAAGACAUCACUCGCAGAAGAAGCACCGGCUAACUCCGUGCCAGCAGCCGCGGUAAUACGGAGGGUGCAAGCGUUAAUCGGAAUUACUGGGCGUAAAGCGCGCGUAGGUGGCUUGAUAAGCCGGUUGUGAAAGCCCCGGGCUCAACCUGGGAACGGCAUCCGGAACUGUCAAGCUAGAGUGCAGGAGAGGAAGGUAGAAUUCCCGGUGUAGCGGUGAAAUGCGUAGAGAUCGGGAGGAAUACCAG
rnacentral:rRNA from 1 species